rnacentral:rRNA from 1 species
AAACUUUCAACAACGGAUCUCUUGGUUCCGGCAUCGAUGAAGAACGCAGCGAAAUGCGAUAAGUAAUGUGAAUUGCAGAAUUCCGUGAAUCAUCGAAUCUUUGAACGCACAUUGCGCCCCCUGGCAUUCCGGGGGCAUGCCUGUCCGAGCGUCAUUG